UACGGAGGAUGCAAGCGUUAUCCGGAAUGAUUGGGCGUAAAGGGUCCGCAGGUGGCAAUGUGUGUCUGCUGUCAAAGAAUGAGGCUUAACCUCAUCAAGGCAGUGGAAACUACAUAGCUAGAGUAAGGUAGGGGUAGAGGGAAUUCCUGGUGUAGCGGUGAAAUGCGUAGAUAUCUGGAGGAACACCGGUGGCGAAGGCGGCAUCCUGGACCAACACUGACGCUGAGUGAGCGAAAGCCAGGGGAGCAAACGGG
rnacentral:rRNA from 1 species